GUGGUUUAGAUACCCUGGUAGUCUAUGCUGUAAACGAUGUGCACUUGGUGUUGGGCCGAUUAGGUUCAGUGCCGUAGCUAACGCGAUAAGUGCACCGCCUGGGGAGUAUGCCCGCAAGGGUGAAACUCAAAGGAAUUGACGGGGGCCCGCACAAGCGGUGGAUUAUGUGGUUUAAUUCGAUGAUACGCGAGAAACCUUACCAGGGUUUGACAUGCACAGGAAUAGUUUAGAGAUAGGCUAGCCCGCAAGGGUCUGUGCACAGGUGCUGCAUGCCUGUCGUCAACU
rnacentral:rRNA from 1 species